rnacentral:sRNA from 1 species
GCUGGGCGUGGUGAUGCACGCCUGUAAUCCCAGCAGCUGGGAAGGCUGAGAUGGGAGGAUUGAGAGUUCAAAAGUUCAAAACCAGCCUCAGCAACAGCGAGGUGCUGAGCAACUCAGUGAGAUCCUGUCUCUC